UUGACCUCGGAUCAGGUAAGGGAUACCCGGCUGAACUUAAGCAUAUCAUUAAGCUGGAAGAA
rnacentral:rRNA from 1 species